UCUGUGCCCAUGAGUUUUUAAGACAAAUUCAGAUUGUCUAACCAUUAUUCUGUCUGUGCAUUUUAGUUAAUAUUGCUGUGUGUUAAAGGAUAAAACAAGUCCUAAUGCCCAAAGUAUAUUAAAAGUGGAAGUAGUAAAAUAAUUCCUUUAUAAAUGCCCUUUUGUUAGUUUUUAGGAAGGACUGUUCUGGGAGUGUCUGUUAAUCUGCCUCUUGGAGCUAGAUGUAGUCCUGUACUUAGUCAUUGAAAUGGUGGAGGGAGCAGAGGAGGGAUGAAGGGAAGGGCUUUUUGCUAGUAUCUCCACAUCUAGAAGACAGUUUUACGUUAUAAACAUAAGUCUAUAUGUACAUUUUUAUAAAGUACCUGUGUUUGUUGUGGACAAGUUCAUUAUUUGGUAACAUCUAAGCCUUUUGGAUGUCCUGAGAUGACAGUGUAUGAUACAAUGUACAGCUACUGAAUUAACCAGUUUCUAAGUUUUUGUUGUUGUUAUAAUUGAUAGGAAGGAAGCAUUUUGGGCAUGGAAGUGUUAGGCUGUCUCUGAGAAAUGUAUGUCAGGACUUACUCAUUAGACUGGCCGCAGAGGGGCAGAAGGAAGUAUACUGGGAGAGAUGCGUCUUGUAGGGACAGAGUG